UACGGAGGGUGCAAGCAUUAAUCGGAUUUAUUGGGCGUAAAGGGCGCGUAGGCGGAGAUGAAAGUCAGAUGUGAAAUCCCGGGGCUCAACCUCGGAACUGCAUUUGAAACUGUAUUUCUAAGAGGGUAGGCGGAGAAAAUGGAAUUCCACAAGUAGCGGUGAAAUGCGUAGAUAUGUGGAAGAACACCAGUGGCGAAGGCGGUUUUCUAGCUUAUUCCUGACGCUAAAGCGCGAAAGCUAGGGGAGCAAACAGG
rnacentral:rRNA from 1 species